UACGUAGGUGGCAAGUGUUAUCCGGAAUUAUUGGGCGUAAAGCGCGCGCAGGCGGUUUCUUAAGUCUGAUGUGAAAGCCCACGGCUCAACCGUGGAGGGUCAUUGGAAACUGGGGAACUUGAGUGCAGAAGAGGAUAGUGGAAUUCCAAGUGUAGCGGUGAAAUGCGUAGAGAUUUGGAGGAACACCAGUGGCGAAGGCGACUAUCUGGUCUGUAACUGACACUGAGGCGCGAAAGCGUGGGGAGCAAACAGG
rnacentral:rRNA from 1 species